CGUAGCUGAGCUGCAUGAAAUAUGGGCGACGACAGACCCUUCGUGUGCAACGCCCCCGGCUGCGGCCAGACCCCAAACUGCUGUCGUCUGUUCCGGACUUGCUGAAAAAUAGAAGGGAGGGAGAGGGAGAAAAAAGACCCGUUGUGAAUUUUUGCUCUGUGGGUGACAAAGUGGAGUCGGCUGCAGCCGUGCAAAGCGUUGGUGCAAACUGGAGUGAGCCCCAGGCCGUCCCAGCGCUGCGUUGGUGGGAGGAGCGGAGCAUUGCACAACCCUGCGUGUGCUGCUGCAAUGGGGACUGGGAGGAACCAGCACAGCCCUGUGUGGGGUGUGGACAGCUGGGAUGGUCUGUUCUGAAGCGUUCCGACCUCAGAAUGCAACUGGUAGGAUGGAGAGGAGGGGGCUCUGUGCCUUCAGUCGGGCCUCCGGCGCUCCGUGCCCGCCGUGUGCUGCUGGUCACAACGCCCCUGGGAGCUCUGACCCCCCACAGGGUCCCCCCCGUCCCCCCUGGGAGUUGAAAGGAGGGAUAAUGUUGCAUCCCAUGCGAAUUCUGCGACAUUUAUUUUGUAGUGCUAGAAACGGGUCCAAAAAAAGGACUCCAAACCUGCACCUGUGGCUCUUUAACCAGCAGCGCUUCAGCUCUGCUGCACUUCGGUCCCGUCCGCAGCGCUUCCCAUCCACGUGCAGGUGAUCUUCCUUCUUUCUUUUUUUUUUUUUGUUAGGCUGCUUUUUAUCCUGAACUUCUUUGCCUGUGAAAUUGUGCAAGUCAUUUAUAAAAUGUAUUAGCUGCAUUUGAGCACUUAAUGAUGUGAGCACCUCAAUCAUACAACCUUAAAAUCGGAUUCAAACAAGCAAUUAAGGCAAACAACAAUGUAUUUAAAUUUAAUCUCCCACAAUCUCCCACAAAUGACAUAUAAAGGUGGUUGCUUCCUCCUUUCGCUGUUCCAGACUGCUGCUUAUGGGUAAUUCUGACAAUUCUUCAUGUUAAUAUUGAAAUGUUCGAAUCCAGGUAAUUCAUCCCGCUGUGAUUCAUUGUGAUCCAGCCUGACCUCGCGCACGGCUUCCUGGAACGUCCUUCAGUACCCGUUCAAACCAGAGCAUGUAUGAAAUAAUGAUGAUCCAAGCUUGAUUUAAAAUAUUUCCAGUGAUGGAGAAUUCACCGCAGCCCUCGGUUAAGUUGUUCUAACAGUUAAUUGCUCUCUCUGGUGGGGAAGAAUUGCCUUAUUUCCAGUCUGAACCUGCUCGGCUGCAGCUCCUGGGCUGCGGAUCUUAUUAAUUUUUGUUUGUUAGACAGAAAAUCCUUCCUAGCAGAUCUCGGUGGGUGUUUACCGACCGAUGGAGUCACCCUUUGCAGUCCUUCAGACUGCACACACAGCCCCAGCCUCUCCCUGUAGGUCU
rnacentral:lncRNA from 1 species